CCCUUAGAUGUUCUGGGCGGCCCGCGCACUACAUUGGCACUCUCAAUAAGUUCCUAGAUCUAAAACUUUGGGGUAUUCUAUUAAGUGGUGUCGUGACUGGGAUUAACCCUUGCAAUUAUUGGUUACGAACGAGGAAUUCCUUGUAAUCGCGGUUUAUCAGCCCGCGUUGAAUGCGUCCCUGCCCUUUGUCCACACCGCCCGUCGCUCCUACCGAUGAAUCGUCCGGUGAAGUUCAUGGAGUGGUGGUUGUUCCAGCUGCUGUCGAAGUGAAAUGGACCUCACGAUUUAGAGGAAGGAGAAGUCGUAACA
rnacentral:rRNA from 1 species